ACAGGUGUGCAAAGAGCACAGACUUGGAAAAAGGGGGGCGUGCGCUCUCUUGUGUCUUUCAUCUUGCAUUUUAACUAAUUGAAUUUCAUUUUAAAAACUAUCAGACUAACUAAAAGGGGGCCCAUUUUCCACAUCUUGGUUUCCUCAACUAAUAGUCUGGUACUGAAAUCAUCAUGGAGUCCCCAGAGGACACUCGGGUCCCAUCUUGUUCAUCUCCCUAAAUACAGCGCAGAUGGCCUCACCCCUGCUGAAGAAACAGGUGGGAUCCCAAGACUCCCAAAGGCUAGCACGGACUUCUUUCUAGGUCUAUUUGACUUUCCAAGGUUUCGACUGGAAGCUAAUUGAAGACAAAGGGGAGACACCAUUCUGAGACCACUUUCCCACAACCCUCCAUGAUGGCAGCCAGUGUUCCAUAAAUGUCUGUGCAGAGAGAGGCCAUUAUACCAUGUACUGGCGCUUAUGUUGAAAGAGUGACCCAGACCACGUUCACCCUUCAGACAUGCCUCUGAGGAUGCAGUGUUCCAGGCGCCAUCUUGGAAGCAGAGAUCAGACACCCAACCUGCCAGUACCCUGAUCUUGGACUUUCCAGGUUCCACAACUCCUGCUCUGCAGCUAGGAGGCACCGAUGGAAUCCAAGGCUCUUUCCUGUGAAGUGCUGCAAACUACCUCCCCCCAAACCUCUGUAAUGGGAGCAAAUCCUCUGUAGAACACACUUCAUGAAAUCCUGAUGUAAUCCUUGGGGGAAAGCUGAGGAGUUGAACCCUUUCCCUUCCUCUUGGGUAUGUAGAGAAAGAAAGACCAGUGGAGUAUGCCAGACCUCCCAUCCAUCACCAGCAGCCCCACAUCCUGUCCUGGAGAGGAGCAUCAAUGACGCAGGCUUGCAAAUGACUUUUCUGCUCCAUCCAGGACACGUGCAAUGUCUACAAAGAGCAAGGGAUUCCAAAUGUCUGCUCCGGCCUAUCAUUCUUCAUCUAUCUGAGUAGCCCAACAUGAGCCUACAACAGAUACAAUUAAGCCAAGGAGAUCCAAGGACCCUGCCCAAAAGGGAAGAGAGUGGGAGGCCAAGUAUGAUAUGUUCUCUCUAGUCCCAUUGCCCAGUUUUGAUCAGGCACACCCUGAUCUCUCAACUCAUGCACAAGAGUUUUAACCUAGUCCCACCCAGGUGGGAGCCCCUUGAGCACCCACAGACUUGGACUGCCUCCUCCCAUGAUCAAGUUCUUUAUAAUUCAUCUGGAUCCCACAGUUUAACAUUUAAAUGAUUUCUACUUUUGAUUAUUUUGUUUCAUCUGUAGAAUUUAUCUUCCCACCUAGAAUGUAAAAUCCAGGAAGCUUGAGGCCACAUCUCAACAUUUUUCUAUUUCUCCCUGCAGGAUCCCAGUUCUCUGGGGUAGAUACAGUGUGACAUUGUAUUGAAUAAAAAUCGUUUUUGCUCCCACUCACCCC